CGCGCAGGCGGUUUUUCAAGUCAGUGGUGAAAGCCCGGAGCUCAACUCCGGAACUGCCAUUGAAACUGUGAAACUUGAGGACGAGAGAGGUGAGUGGAAUUCCCAGUGUAGAGGUGAAAUUCGUAGAUAUUGGGAAGAACACCGGUGGCGAAGGCGGCUCACUGGCUCGUUUCUGACGCUCAGGCGCGACAGCGUGGGGAUCAAACAGGAUUAGAUACCCUGGUAGUCCACGCCGUAAACGAUGAACGCUAGCCGUUGGAUAGCUUGCUAUUCAGUGGCGCAGCUAACGCAUUAAGCGUUCCGCCUGGGGAGUACGGCCGCAAGGUUGAA
rnacentral:rRNA from 1 species